AACGUAGGUUCCGAGCGUUAUCCGGAUUUACUGGGCGUAAAGCGCGUUCAGGCGGUUUGGCAAGUCGGGCAUGAAAUCUCUGGGCUCAACCCGGAGAGGUUGUCCGAUACUGCUAAACUGGAGGGCAGUAGAGGGUGGUGGAAUUCCGGGUGUAGUGGUGAAAUGCGUAGAGAUCCGGAAGAACACCAGUGGCGAAAGCGGCCACCUGGACUGCACCUGACGCUGAAACGCGAAAGCUAGGGGAGCGAACGGG
rnacentral:rRNA from 1 species